UACGUAGGGCGCAAGCGUUGUCCGGAAUUAUUGGGCGUACAGAGCUCGUAGGCGGCCAGUUGCGUCCGCUGUGAAAUCCCGGGGCUUAACCCCGGGCGUGCAGUGGAUACGGGCUGGCUAGAGGCAGGCAGGGGAGAACGGAAUUCCCGGUGUAGCGGUGAAAUGCGCAGAUAUCGGGAGGAACACCGGUGGCGAAGGCGGUUCUCUGGGCCUGUACUGACGCUGAGACGCGAAAGCGUGGGGAGCGAACAGG
rnacentral:rRNA from 1 species